rnacentral:lncRNA from 1 species
CAUGUAAGUUGUAGAGAUCCAUCCAUCAUGGAUCUUAGCAAGUUAGUGGGAGCUAUUUGCAUUUUAUGAGAAAAUGAUCAAAUCGUUUGAUUUCUCAUAAAAAUCUUUUGUUUACUAGUUUUACAAAAGAUUAGUGGGAGUUAAUCAUGUUCCUAAAAUUUAAAUAUAUAUAUGAUAUAUUAAUUUUGGAAAUGAAAAGAAUACUUCUUCGUUAAAGUUAUGACUUUAAUACAUUACAUGAAGAUAGAAUGUAUAUGGGAGAUAUAGUCUAUAUAUAUGGGAUGGAAAUCUAUAAUGAUAUAUUUCAUGAUAUAAUUGGAUUAUAUCAAUCCCUAAUAAUAGACAAUGGAUGCUAGGAAGUUUCUCAUAUGAUGAUAAACUUCAAUAUGAAGGACGAUUCUAGUGAGACUAGCAAGUUGCCCUUCUCAAAGGGAACGUGCCCCUUUGACUCCCAAAGAAAUAAUGCGUAAAUAGAAUCCUUUAUGCAUACGCAGAAAGGUGAUUUAUGUAUUUCAUAUUGUAUGAAAAACAUUGAUAUGAGUUGUACCUAGAACGGUACAAGACGAUAUCAGUGCAAGCCCAGGAUCAGAACCAUGGCAACUGUCAAGUGAGUCCUUAAGUAUUUAAGAAAUAAGAAAUACUAAAGGAUAAAUUCCUCAAAGAUCGAGGAAGAAUUAGAGUAACGUAAUGGAAGCGUAAAUGUAUUAGAUUAUGAAUCUAAUCCAUCAUUGGAUGUUUCUUCAUUAUGAAUGAAGAGAUAAACGAAUAUCUUUUUAUUAUGACUAAAGAGAUAUUUGGAUGGAAACAUUAAGUAAUGACUUUAGUGUGUUCCGUUAUGAAUGCAAGAUAUAUUGCCAUAUAGAAGUUUACAACAAUGUUGUUUGGAUGGGAAAGUUCAUUUAUGAACUCUCUAUUCGGUUCCAACCAGAAAGUGUAUGACACUAAUGGGGGCGAUAGCUCAAGCCUGGGAAUCAAGGUCUCAUCAAGAUCCGAACUCAAAUGAGAGACUGA